CUUCAAGAUUACCGGAAGUAGACGCUGGUGGGUGUUGGCUGGUGUCUGCCAGCGGGAGAAGCUGAAUUAAUCUCACAGUCUUUGCGGGAAACUAGUUAAAGACAUGGAACAGUUACUGUGCCGUUUCCCCCCACAGUUUGGGACUUGAGAGGACCUCUGACUCUAGGUGACGUGAUGAUGCUGCUCAUCUUCAUCUCCAGCUGUGUGGGUGAUGGAGGCUGAGGAUUGUGUGGAUGAUCAGGAGCUUCACUCUGAAUCCUGACCUCCUCCUUCUGCUUCAGUGGUUUCUGGCUUCAUAACUUGGUCACCAUGGCGACCAUCUGGAUGACUGAGGUCCCUGAUUUGACUUUCUGAGAAUCAGGCUGGUGCUGAACAUCAGGCUGUUAACUGCAGAGCAUCAGACCUUAUCUGUGGAUCCUCCCGACGGUUUCUCUCCCAACUCCUGGAGUUGGAGGACAUGGAUUCAUGGAGGACUUCAGCUUCUUGUAGCUGCUCCUGCUGAUAGAUGUCAUUGCUGUCUUCUCCCUCUGCACUGGCUGCUACGUCUUCUUUGUUUCUGCUUUUCUCUUUGUCAUGACUGUGAAUCAGGCAGCUGUGCUGAAAAUAUGAUUGUUCUCCUUAUAAUAAAAGCUGGAAGCUGAAAAUCC